CGGGUCAUUCCGUUAGUAGUGGCUGCCUGGUUGUUAACAUUAGCAUAGUAGCUUGUGUGACACAUCUCUCCACAGUACCGUCGCCUCACAAAUGAGAAGCACGUAGGAGUCUUUCACGAUGGGAGACCAGCUGGGGGCUAGCCGGCGCCCCACCAACGGUUGCCGUGGAAACCAGCUCGCUAACGCUAGCAGGUCGGAUCUCCUCUGGAGCCAACGGUUGAAGAGAAGAACAGAAACAUCCCAGAAUCGCUCCAGCUGAAGCUUCAACCAGUUAGCAUAGCCACCGGAUAAGCCGCUCUGCUGGAACUAUGUUACAAACUGCAGCUCUGAUCAUCUGCUCUGAAAGGUGUGAACACUCCUGUAGACAUCAGAAAUGACAAAGCUUCGUAAACAAGCUGAAAAAAAAGUGUGACCAUGAACGUCACAGAAAUUUCUGCUCUUUGAAUAAGUGAUUUGAAUUUUCCAACUUCUCCUAGUGUAACUUUUUAACAAGGUGCAAAACAAAUUUUGUGGAAGGCCCUUCCUGACAUUUAAAGAGCGUCAAAAAUAGCAGCUCUCCGUGCGGCUGCUGCGCUGCUUUCGCUUUUAUUCGUCUGGCGUUGCGGCAGCCAUCGCUGCUGCUUUCAACCCUCCACCGCCUUUCAUCUUGCCUGCAAAAUUGAGUUUCUCCCCCAUGUUUAUCCCUGAUUCGGGGAGCGAGACGAGUCGGGGUACAGCGGGGUAGAUCUGAAGGUAGUCUUUAACCGACAAAGACCCCUGCGUACCGCGUAUCUGUGACUGUAGGGAUUAGCGGCUGAGAGACAGAGCUCUGCCUUUACUCGUUAAUCUCUGCCGUCCCAACAUCACUCACUCUGCCUCGUUGUCUCAGCCUCCCUCCUCCUCCUCAGCCUGAACUUUAAUUAGUUUUAGCAUGGAUUGGAGGAAAACUCUCCCUUCUGCAGGUGAUGAAGCAGGAACUGCCACCGAGUUCAGCUGAGGUCAGGGCGACUUUGGACAGCAGAAAAACAUUCAAUGUUAAUAUGAUUAAUCACGAUUAAUUGAUU